UGGGGAAUAUUGGACAAUGGGGGCAACCCUGAUCCAGCCAUACCGUGUGUGUGAAGAAGGCCUUAGGGUUGUAAAGCACUUUAAGUGGGGAGGAAAAGCGGCUUGCGAAUAACAAGCCGCCGUGACGCUACCCACAGAAUAAGCACCGGCUAACUCCGUGCCAGCAGCCGCGGUAAUACGGAGGGUGCGAGCGUUAAUCGGAAUUACUGGGCGUAAAGCGCACGUAGGCGGUUAUGUAAGUUGGAUGUGAAAGUCCUGGGCUUAACCUGGGGAUUGCAUCCAAAACUACAUGACUAGAGUAGGGUAGAGGGAGGUAGAAUUUCCGGUGUAGCGGUGAAAUGCGUAGAGAUCGGAAGGAAUACCAGUGGCGAAGGCGGCCUCCUGGAUUCAUACUGACGCUGAGGUGCGAAAGCAUGGGGAGCAAACAG
rnacentral:rRNA from 1 species